rnacentral:rRNA from 1 species
GACGUACUUCUAGCCUGCUGCAGUCGAGCGGAGCGACAACAUUGACCCUUCGGGUGAUUUGUUGGGCGUCGAGCGGCGGACGGGUGAGUAAUGCCUGGGAAAUUGCCCUGAUGUGGGGGAUAACCAUUGGAAACGAUGGCUAAUACCGCAUAAUGUCUACGGACCAAAGAGGGGGACCUUCGGGCCUCUCGCUUCAGGAUAUGCCCAGGUGGGAUUAGCUAGUUGGUGAGGUAAUGGCUCACCAAGGCGACGAUCCCUAGCUGGUCUGAGAGGAUGAUCAGCCACACUGGAACUGAGACACGGUCCAGACUCCUACGGGAGGCAGCAGUGGGGAAUAUUGCACAAUGGGCGCAAGCCUGAUGCAGCCAUGCCGCGUGUAUGAAGAAGGCCUUCGGGUUGUAAAGUACUUUCAGUCGUGAGGAAGGCGUUGAAGUUAAUAGCUUCAUCGUUUGACGUUAGCGACAGAAGAAGCACCGGCUAACUCCGUGCCAGCAGCCGCGGUAAUACGGAGGGUGCGAGCGUUAAUCGGAAUUACUGGGCGUAAAGCGCAUGCAGGUGGUUUGUUAAGUCAGAUGUGAAAGCCCGGGGCUCAACCUCGGAACCGCAUUUGAAACUGGCAGGCUAGAGUACUGUAGAGGGGGGGUA